CUGGNUCAGGAUGAACGCUAGCGGGAGGCCUAACACAUGCAAGCCGAGCGGUAGAGAUUCUUCGGAAUCUUGAGAGCGGCGCACGGGUGCGGAACACGUGUGCAACCUGCCUUUAUCAGGGGAAUAGCNUUUCGAAAGGAAGAUUAAUGCCCCAUAAUAUUUAGAAUGGCAUUCAUUUUAAAUUGAAAACUCCGGUGGAUAGAGAUGGGCACGCGCAGGAUUAGAUAGUUGGUAGGGUAACGGCAUACCAAGUCNACGAUCCUUAGGGGGCCUGAGAGGGUGAUCCCCCACACUGGUACUGAGACACGGACCAGACUCCUACGGGAGGCAGCAGUGAGGAAUAUUGGACAAUGGGUGAGAGCCUGAUCCAGCCAUCCCGCGUGAAGGACGACGGCCCUAUGGGUUGUAAANUUCUUUUGUACAGGGAUAAACCUUUCCACGUGUGGGAAGCUGAAGGUACUGUACGAAUAAGCACCGGCUAACUCCGUGCCAGCAGCCGCGGUAAUACGGAGGGUGCAAGCGUUAUCCGGAUUUAUUGGGUUUAAAGGGUCCGUAGGCGGACUNGUAAGUCAGUGGUGAAAUCUCACAGCUUAACUGUGAAACUGCCAUUGAUACUGCGGGUCUUGAGUGUUGUUGAAGUAGCUGGAAUAAGUAGUGUAGCGGUGAAAUGCAUAGAUAUUACUUAGAACACCAAUUGCGAAGGCAGGUUACUAAGCAACAACUGACUCNAAUGGGGGCAAGCGUGGGAG
rnacentral:rRNA from 1 species